ensembl:lncRNA
UCCUCACACAGCCUGCCCACAGUUGAGAUAUAUCUUACCACAUCAAUUGACAUCAUGCAGAUGACUUCUCAGACAUUCUCAGAUGCUAACAUUAAUCUAGAUAUUUCCUCACAGGUGUGCCAGAAGCUUGUCUCCUAGGUAACUGAGGAUCCUGUCAGGAUGAUGAUUAACACAUCACGCAGACUCACAAAGAAACCAGAGAGAUGACAACAUACAAUUCACACACCCGAACUUCACCCCUCCCUGUCUCCAAACAGCCCCAACUCAGUCUCCAUGACAGCGGAGCAAAGGUUUCACCAGAACACUGAGAAACCAGUGGACUGUGUGACAUGUGUGAACCUGCUCCUUGGGGUGAAAUACAUUCAAAUAAAGGCCGGCCACACAGGGAAGCACAACGUCUACGCUUCACGGAUCUCACCUUUCCCUCGGGAGGCAGAGGCAAGACGCUCUCUGUGACUUCAGCUUGGUUUACGUAUUUAUUUCCAGGCUGGACAGGGGCUACAAGAUUGCCGUUUCUCCCUUUAUGAGCUAAAUCCAUGCUUUAGUAGAAGCUGGGAGUGACAGUUACCAAAGGAAAUAUCCAGCCAGAGCCUCAGAGUCCAGCACGGCUUGGCAAGCCACACAGCCUCCAUCUACCUUCCUACACACAGAGAGUGACCAGCAGUGUGGCCAUGACGGGAGCAUCCACGACGCUCCUGUCACACAACUACGCGCAUGCCGGUCACUGGGCUGUCGCUCCAGUGC